rnacentral:misc_RNA from 1 species
UUUCCGUAGGUGAACCUGCGGAAGGAUCAUUAUUGUAUAACCGAGGUGCGAGGGCUGUCGCUGACCCGAAAGGUCGUGCACGCCCGAGUGCCCUCACACACAUCCAUCUCACCCCUAUGUGCACCACCGCGUGGGUCCCCCUUUGGCUUGUUCGGAGGGGGGCUUACGUGGUCACACAAACUUUGUAUGCAGUGUAGAAUGUAUUUUUUGUUUUUGCGAUCACGCAAUCAAUACAACUUUCAACAACGGAUCUCUUGGCUCUC